GUACUAGCUACAACGGUACAUAUUCUAAAAUUCGAACGAUACAGAGACUAACAUGGCUUCUAUGGAAGGAUGACAAGCAAGAUCGUAAACCGUUCUAUAUCCUA